CAAUAGCGUAUAUUUAAGUUGUUGCAGUUAAAAAGCUCGUAGUUGGAUUUCGGGUUGGCUUCAGCGGUCUCGCUUCGCGUUUGUACUGCUGCAGCCUACCUUCUUGUCGGGGACGGGCCUACGGGCUUGAUUGCUUGGGGCUCGGAGUCGACGAUGUUACUUUGAGUAAAUUAGAGUGUUCAAAGCAAGCCUACGCUCUGAAUAUAAUAGCAUGGGAUAACACGACAGGACUCUGGCCUAUCGUGUUGGUCUGUAGGACCAGAGUAAUGAUUAAGAGGGACAGUCGGGGGCAUUCGUAUUCCGUUGUCAGAGGUGAAAUUCUUGGAUUUAUGAAAGACGAACUACUGCGAAAGCAUUUGCCAAGGAUGUUUUCAUUAA
rnacentral:rRNA from 1 species